UACGUAGGGGGCUAGCGUUGUCCGGAAUCAUUGGGCGUAAAGCGCGUGUAGGCGGUCCGGUAAGUCCGCUGUGAAAGUCGGGGGCUCAACCCUCGGAUGCCGGUGGAUACUGUCGGGCUUGAGUACGGAAGAGGCGAGUGGAAUUCCUGGUGUAGCGGUGAAAUGCGCAGAUAUCAGGAGGAACACCAACAGCGAAGGCAGAUCUCUGGGACGUAACUGACGCUGAGACGCGAAAGCGUGGGGAGCAAACAGG
rnacentral:rRNA from 1 species